rnacentral:tRNA from 1 species
UGGGCUAUGGUGUAAUGGUAACACUUCAGAUUCUGGUCCUGACUUUCCAGGUUCGAAUCCUGGUAGCCCAACUA